GACGAACGCUGGCGGCGUGCCUAAUACAUGCAAGUAGAACGCUGAAGGAGGAGCUUGCUUCUCUGGAUGAGUUGCGAACGGGUGAGUAACGCGUAGGUAACCUGCCUGGUAGCGGGGGAUAACUAUUGGAAACGAUAGCUAAUACCGCAUAAGAGUAGAUGUUGCAUGACAUUUGCUUAAAAGGUGCAAUUGCAUCACUACCAGAUGGACCUGCGUUGUAUUAGCUAGUUGGUGGGGUAACGGCUUACCAAGGCGACGAUACAUAGCCGACCUGAGAGGGUGAUCGGCCACACUGGGACUGGGACACGGCCCAGACUCCUACGGGAGGCAGCAGUAGGGAAUCUUCGGCAAUGGACGGAAGUCUGACCGAGCAACGCCGCGUGAGUGAAGAAGGUUGUCGGAUCGUAAAGCUCUGUUGUAAGAGAAGAACGAGUGUGAGAGUGGAAAGUUCACACUGUGACGGUAUCUUACCAGAAAGGGACGGCUAACUACGUG
rnacentral:rRNA from 1 species